AGUGAACGCUGGCGGUAGGCCUAACACAUGCAAGUCGAACGGCAGCACAGUAAGAGCUUGCUCUUACGGGUGGCGAGUGGCGGACGGGUGAGGAAUACAUCGGAAUCUACUUUUUCGUGGGGGAUAACGUAGGGAAACUUACGCUAAUACCGCAUACGACCUACGGGUGAAAGCAGGGGAUCUUCGGACCUUGCGCGAUUGAAUGAGCCGAUGUCGGAUUAGCUAGUUGGCGGGGUAAAGGCCCACCAAGGCGACGAUCCGUAGCUGGUCUGAGAGGAUGAUCAGCCACACUGGAACUGAGACACGGUCCAGACUCCUACGGGAGGCAGCAGUGGGGAAUAUUGGACAAUGGGCGCAAGCCUGAUCCAGCCAUACCGCGUGGAUGAAGAAGGCCUUCGGGUUGUAAAGCCCUUUUGUUGGGAAAGAAAAGCAGCAGGUUAAUACCCCGCUGUUAUGACGGUACCCAAAGAAUAAGCACCGGCUAACUUCGUG
rnacentral:rRNA from 1 species